rnacentral:rRNA from 1 species
GACGAACGCUGGCGGCGUGCUUAACACAUGCAAGUCGAACGGAAAGGCCCUGCUUUUGUGGGGUGCUCGAGUGGCGAACGGGUGAGUAACAUGUGAGUAACCUGCCCUUGACUUUGGGAUAACUUCAGGAAACUGGGGCUAAUACCGGAUAGGAGCUCCUGCUGCAUGGUGGGGGUUGGAAAGUUUCGGCGGUUGGGGAUGGACUCGCGGCUUAUCAGCUUGUUGGUGGGGUAGUGGCUUACCAAGGCUUUGACGGGUAGCCGGCCUGAGAGGGUGACCGGCCACAUUGGGACUGAGAUACGGCCCAGACUCCUACGGGAGGCAGCAGUGGGGAAUAUUGCACAAUGGGCGGAAGCCUGAUGCAGCAACGCCACGUGCGGGAUGACGGCCUUCGGGUUGUAAACCGCUUUCGCCUGUGACGAAGCGUGAGUGACGGUAAUGGGUAAAGAAGCACCGGCUAACUACGUG